rnacentral:RNase_P_RNA from 3 species
AAGAUAGGCUGGACAAUCGCCCCAAUUUUAUCGGGGAGGAAAGUCCGGACAUCACGCCGCGCUCUGCGCGGUAAAUGGUAAUGGAUAACGUCCACCCGAUAAAUCGUGAGAUUUAUUGAGGGAGAGCGCUACAGAGACAAUACUAUCUGAUUUUGCCACACCGCUUAGGCGGAGACAAAAUCGGAAAAAGGUGAAAAGUAUGCCGAGGUUCAAGUUCGCUUUAUCAGCUGAUUAGCGAAAUUAUGAGCUACGGCAGUUCUUGGUCAGCAAUGGCCAAUGAUGGCAAGCCCUACCUGAUGCAAGGCCGUGCCCAAUGCGUAAGCCUUGGGAGUGCCGCUUGACUCCGACGGUAACGUCGGAGCUAGAUAAAUGAUUGUCUUCCAUCCGCCUCGGCGGACGGAAACAGAAUCCGGCUUAUAGGCCUGUCUUGAUA